UACAGAGACUGCAAGCGUUAUUCGGAUUCACUGGGCGUAAAGGGUGCGCAGGCGGCCGAGUGUGUGAGGCGUGAAAGCCCGGGGCUUAACCCCGGAAUUGCACCUCAAACUACACGGCUAGAGCAUUGGAGAGGGUAGCAGAAUUCAUGGUGUAGCAGUGAAAUGCGUAGAUAUCUGGAGGAACACCGGAGGCGAAGGCGGAUCACUGGACUGCCACUGACGCUGAGGCGCGAAAGCUAGGGGAGCAAACAGG
rnacentral:rRNA from 1 species